rnacentral:rRNA from 1 species
AACGAACGCUGGCGGCGCGCCUAACACAUGCAAGUCGAACGAGAAUCCGGGGCAACCCGGUAGUAAAGUGGCAAACGGGUGAGGAAUACAUGGGUAACCUACCCUUGAGAAGGGAAUAACCCGCCGAAAGGUGAGCUAAUACCCUAUACGCUAUCUUUUUUUCGAAAGGAAUAGGAAAGACCGGGUCGGAGGACCUGGUACUCAAGGAGGGGCGUCAUGUCCUAUCAGCUUGUUGGUGGGGUAACGGGCCUACCAAGGCUACGACGGGUAGGCUGGUCUGAGAGGAUGAUCAGCCACACUGGCACUGAGAUACGGGCCAGACUCCUACGGGAGGCAGCAGUGAGGAAUAUUGCGCAAUGGGCGAAAGCCUGACGCAGCGACGCCGCGUGGGGGAGUGAAGGUUUUCGG